rnacentral:rRNA from 1 species
ACGGAAGGCAGCAGUGGGGAAUAUUGGGCAAUGGGCGAAAGCCUGACCCAGCAACGCCGCGUGAAGGAAGAAGGUCUUCGGAUUGUAAACUUCUUUUAUGAGGGACGAAGGACGUGACGGUACCUCUUGAAUAAGCCACGGCUAACUACGUGCCAGCAGCCGCGGUAAUACGUAGGUGGCAAGCGUUAUCCGGAUUUACUGGGUGUAAAGGGCGCGUAGGCGGGGAUGCAAGUCAGAUGUGAAAUCUAUGGGCUUAACUCAUAAACUGCCUUUGAAUCUGUAUUUCUUGAGUGCUGGAGAGGUAGAUGGAAUUCCUUGUGUAGCGGUGAAAUGCGUAGAUAUAAGGAAGAACACCAGUGGCGAAGGCGAUCUACUGGACAGUAACUGACGCUGAGGCGCGAAAGCGUGGGGAGCA